AUUGAACGCUGGCGGCAGGCCUAACACAUGCAAGUCGAACGAGUGGCGGACGGGUGAGUAAUGUCUGGGAAACUGCCUGAUGGAGGGGGAUAACUACUGGAAACGGUAGCUAAUACCGCAUACCAUCGGAUGUGCCCAGAGGGGAGUAGCUAGGAGGUGGGGUAAAGGCGCACCUCGGCGACGAUCACUAGCUGGGCUGAGAGGAAGACCAGCCACACUGGAACUGAGACACGGUCCAUACGCCUACGGGAGGCAGCAGUGGGGAAUAUUGCACAAUGGGCGCAAUCCUGAUGCAGCCAUGCCGGGGGUAGGAAGAAGGCCGUCGGGUUGUAAAGUACUUUCAGCGGGGAGGCGUUACCCGCAGAAGAAGCACCGGCUAACUCCGUGCCAGCAGCCGCGGUAAUAC
rnacentral:rRNA from 1 species